GACGAACGCUGGCGGCGUGCUUAACACAUGCAAGUCGAACGGAAAGGCCCUGCUUUUGGGGGGUGCUCGAGUGGCGAACGGGUGAGUAACACGUGAGUAACCUGCCCUUUACUUUGGGAUAACUUGAGGAAACUGGGGCUAAUACCGGAUAUGAUCUCCUGCUACAUGUUGGGGGUUGGAAAGUUUCGGCGGUUGGGGAUGGACUCGCGGCUUAUCAGCUUGUUGGUGGGGUAGUGGCUUACCAAGGGUUUGACGGGUAGCCGGCCUGAGAGGGUGACCGGCCACAAUGGGACUGCGAUAAGGACCAGAAUGCUACGGGAGGCAGCAGUGGGGAAUCUUGCACAAUGGGCGGAAGCCUGAUGAGGAAACGCCGGGUGCGGGAUGACGGGUUUCGGGUUGUAAACAGGUUUCGCAUGUGACGAAGGGUGAGUGACGGUAACGGGUAAAGAAGCAACGGCUAACUACGUG
rnacentral:rRNA from 1 species